ensembl:lncRNA
AUAUAUGUGUUCCCUUCAGUUUAUUCUCUAAAUCUCUGUUAGUUGUUAUUAAAAAGGAGUUAAAUUUCCCGUUAUUAAACCUGCAGAAACCCAGUGACGUGAGUUAGUUUCCUGCAGUGAACAUACGAGAGUCAGAUCUUUAGCUUUAUUAAAUAUGCAGAGGUCAUGAAGAAGGAAACCUGCCAUUGAAAAGCUUUUUCUGUGAUCAGAUCAAAUGCACAGAAUCCUCUUUCACUACUAAUAACUAUUAUUCUUGUUCUUCUUAUGAUGUUUUUAUUUUUUAUUUUAUUUUUUGGCAGUCUAUUCAGAUAUUAGACUUCUUGACGUGUGAGUUGUGAGUGUCUUGACUAUUUUAAUUCUUCGUUCAUCUGUUCUUGUGCCUCACGGAGCAUCUGUGUGUGAUCCUCAGAUCCAAGCUGACCAAUGAUGACUUCAGGAAGCUUCUGAUGAUCUGCUCCGUCCUCGGCUCCGCCCUCCAUAACACGCCACCAUGAGUGAAGUGACCUGCUUCUGAACACUUCUUUCUUCUUCUGAUCAUGAGACUAGUUUCUGCUAGUCGCUUACUUCUCAAAACAACACCCAAAUCACUCGAGGACUUGUGUUUUGCAACACUGUAACCUUCACAUCCUUGACGCUGAAAAACAUGUGCAUGCAUAUUAAUCUUUUUAUUUUAACAGUUAACAGGAUUGUAGAAUAGUAUCCUCCUCACAUGACAUUUCACGGGUCUUCAUAAGUCAGUCAGCCGGUUUAGAAAGUGUUUCUGAUAUAAUAACUCGAUUCUCAUGUCUUCAUGAGAGAAGUCGGUUUGAAUUGUUGUUGUGAUGGAUUUCCCAGGAUGCCACGGGAGUAUAACGAGGAUGAGGAUCCUGCAGCUCGCAGGCGUAAGAAGAAAAGUUACUACGCGAAGCUGCGGCAGCAGGAGAUGGAGAGAGAGCGUGAGCUGGCGGAGAAGUACCGCGACCGCGCUCGAGAAAAGACGUGACGGUGUUAAUAAAGACUACGAGCUGACGGAGCUCAUCAGCACCACGGCCAACUGCGGAGGCGUGAGUUUCCUUCCAUUUGUGUCCU